rnacentral:tRNA from 1 species
UUAAUUGAAACCAAAAUCGAGGUAUAUCACUGUUAAUGAUAAAAUUGAGACACAUCUCCAAUUAAA